UCCAAAUAUACUUUUAUUAAGUAUUGAAUGGAUAAACAUCUAUAGGCUUUGAAAUCACGCAGCACAAAUAUUUUUUAAAUAGUAAAAAGCAUAUAUGACCGCAAGUCUAUACACAUGCGUAAAUAAAAAAUCACAAAACAGCGUUAUUCCUAGCUGUUUAUGCAUUUCAGACACAAAUAUAGGUUUGAAACUGGAGUUCCUUGGAAGUACGAAGGGGCGUCAAAGUCUGAUUGACGCACAGAGACGUUGGCCCAUUUAGAAACAAAAUUGUUUUCAUUUUUUAAGAGAAUAGUCGGAGGGAUGUAUGGUUUAACCCAAUUGAAUAGACUGUUUUGAGAAUGAAUAUUUUCUAACGGAUUAAUAAAUUCACCAUCCGUGAUGAGAAUUAACAAUCCUGCCUUAUUGGUAUUUUUUGCUUGCUGCACCCAUGAGCAGUUGCCAAGUGGAGCAAUAUAUGCUGUAUCUUUGUCGAGAGUAUCGGAGGGUUUUUGACACAUACUGUUAUUUAACAAGACUGUCUUAAAAACCUUUGAAGGUAAAGAAUUAUCGUUGUCAAAUUGAAGGAAUUUUCCAAACGUUUUUUGACCACUGUUCGGAUUUUCUAGCUGAGCAAUAGUUCGAUCAAAGUACAAUGCAUCAGGUCUUGUGAAGGUCUCAUAAUCCGGAUCGGUUAGGAAGACCGUGUCAUUCUCAUUUAUAGAUUCAGCUCCAGCAGUGUAUAAAAACAGAGAAUUAGAACCUUCUUUUUGAACGAAUUUAAGUUUAUUACCGAUAAUGUCGGAUAUGUAUACAUUAUUGGUUACACGUUCCACUGAUUUUAUAGGACUAACAAGUGCACUUCCAUAAAGGAGUUCAAAACCAUCGGAAUACUCUGGCCUCUUGCAAACACCCGAUGGAUCAAUUAGAUACGAGGGUAUUGCUUUGUUAUCAAUUCCUACUAAAUGAGAGACAUAAUCGUAAUCGUCUCUAGAUGCUAUCAACGAAUAUAACAUUGGCCAUUUAGAUCUGUCGUAAUCUUCUGCAACACAAACUUCUCCACCGUCGUAAAUUCUUUGAGAGGUAGACAGUCGUGUUUGAUUUGUCACGGGAAACAAAUGACCUUCUGUCGUAAAAAUAAAAUCAUGGUGACUUCUGUGAAUGGGAUUAUCAUCGUCAAAUAAUAGAAACAAAUAUUUAAGGGUUUCGCUCAAAAAGAAACUUUCCAUUCGAUUCGAAAGUGUAUACUUUUCUAGAUUCUCUACUGCCGCAAAUCCACAAGGAGUCCAUAGGUGGUUUUCGAUAUUACUUAGCAGUAAUUCACCGACAUGAAGAUAAAAUACAUCUUUAGUUGCCCUGUAUAAAUAAUAUGUAGACUCAGCAAAUUCAGGACGUAAAGGAUAACCGUUUAGUUCGAUGGACUUUGUAUACAAGUUGUAGCG